AUGGCGACUACACUUCACUACCUGGAUAUAAGAAGUCAAGCUUCACAGACUGCAGAAUUUCUGAAAAUGAGGUGCUCCCCAGGACCAGUGAUUGCACUGCUCUUAUUGUUUGGAGGAAGCAAUGGAGACUCAGUGACUCAGACACAAGGCCAAGUGGCCAUGUUGGAAGGGGCUUCCCUGACUGUGAAUUGCUCCUAUGAAACCAAACAAUACCCCACUCUCUUCUGGUAUGUCCAGUACCAUGGAGAAGGUCCCCAGCUCCUUCUUAAAGUCAGUAAGGCCAAUGAGAUGGGAAGCCACAAAGGAUUUAAAGCCAUGUAUGACCAAGAAGCCACCUCCUUCCACUUGAAGAAAGCCAAAGUCCUAGUGUCUGAUUCCGCUGUGUACUACUGUGCUCUGAGUGACACAGUGACAGAAACCACAUGGGGAGCUGAGCACAAACUGAGCUGCAGUAGGGGCCUGGCUGCUGAGCUCCUGUUCUGGAAGUGA